rnacentral:rRNA from 1 species
UGGGGAAUAUUGGACAAUGGGCGGAAGCCUGAUCCAGCAAUACCGCGUGUGUGAAGAAGGCCUUAGGGUUGUAAAGCACUUUCAAUAGGGAGGAAAAAGGUAAGCUUAAUACGUUUGCCCUUGACAUUACCUAUACAAGAAGCACCGGCUAACUCCGUGCCAGCAGCCGCGGUAAUACGGAGGGUGCAAGCGUUAAUCGGAAUUACUGGGCGUAAAGGGCGCGUAGGCGGCAAUUCAAGUCAUCUGUGAAAUCUCCGGGCUUAACUCGGAACGGUCAGAUGAUACUGCUUUGCUAGAGUGCAGAAGGGGCAAUCGGAAUUCUUGGUGUAGCGGUGAAAUGCGUAGAUAUCAAGAGGAACACCUGAGGUGAAGACGGGUUGCUGGGCUGACACUGACGCUGAGGCGCGAAAGCCAGGGGAGCAAACGGGAUUAGAUACCCAUGUAGUCCCUGAGCGGGCUGGCAAGGCGCAU